UCAAGAAUUGACCUACCAACCUGUAUGUAUAGCCUGCCGGUCAUUCAAAUCAGUAAGAGCACUGCUGAUGGCUUAAGUGGGGAUGUGCCUCCUCAGGUGCUACAGGCUCUAGCAGCGAGACAGGAGGCAAUACUGACUAAACUAGAGAAUUUAAGAGCUGAGGUCCUAAAGUACACCAAAUCUGCUGGAAUUAGUACUAAAGCUUCCAUACCUUUACAAGGGCAACAGGGUAUCUCCAAACCAGACGCGGCGUGACGAGCAGACAGAAACUCCCCAGAAGAGAAGACAGUCAGCUGAAUUCAUGGAGCUCUCAUCUCUACUUAUAAACAAUGUAACCGUGAUUAGUUUGAUGCUCUAGACUUUACGAGUGACUGAAAUCUUUUGAGCUUAUACAAUUUCUCAUUUAAACCUUAUUUAUUCAUAUUUAACUUCAUUUAUUCUCAUUAAUCGAAUAUAUGUAAAAGUUUUAUAUCUUAAACUCAAAGUUUUAUAUCUAAGAAGCAGUUAAAGCCUAGCCAGCUUUUUUCCUUUUAAAGAAGAUUUAAACUUAUAUUUUACUUUCAGAAUUAGAAUGGGUUGAUUUUCCUAUUCUAAAACCUCGUACUGUUGCCCAGGUUGUGUUUAAUCAAGAUAUCUCUGAGUAAACCCUUUUGAUCAACUCCACCACCCGGAAUCUACUCUUCAUGAAGCCGAUGCUUGGGGAACAUGUCACCUCCUCCUCGUUCCUCUUGUAAGGCUCAGCCUAAUGAUAUAUAUACCAGGAUUAAACAGAACCUCGUUGCUACUCAAUAGCCUCGUAAUCUUCUCGCACUCCGGAGCUCCUGUGUUCUGGAUGAUGUGCUCGACGGAUCAUACUUGGAACCCUGUUGUGAAACCCUCCUCCAGCUCAAGCAUAACGGACCUGUAAGCUUGUACUGGAUCAUCUUCUCGAGACCUACCUCUUACCUCACCCACUGGUGCAGCCAUCUGUUAUUAUAAAGCCCAAGUCUGCGUGGUCGAUGAACUCCUUCACGACCUCCACCUAGCAGCGGACCAUAAACUGUGCCUCCUCUCCUAAAGCUUCUACUGGACGGACUGAUCCUAGGCGCAACCUACGGAUCAUUGAUAGUCUCGUCCUGGACUUACCUACCUGACUGCAGAGCUAGCGAUCCAACCUCAAAUCUACUUGGAAACUCUUAGCGAUCUAUCCUGCGAUCUAUCUAUGGCUACGAACCCCCUGGCCAGUUCAACUUUUUCACGACUAGAGCUGUAUGAAACUCCUGUUCCUGAAAUACAUGCUUGAAUAAACUUGUCCGUGCAUUAAAGAGGUGCGCCAGGGUAUAUUGGAUGCUCGUCCAUUAUGUUUGUAAGCCUCCUACCAGCUCCUCCUGGG